GCAACUAAAAAAGCGAAGGAAAAGUUUCUAAAUAGCGAAUAUUCGUUUAUUUCCUGCAUUCGUUGCCUUGGAUUUCGCAGGAGUCAAAGGCAGAGGUUCGAAAUGAAAGCAUACACCAGGCUUGUGCACGGUGAAUCUCCAGGUGUACAUGUGGCACCGUGGCGCUCUUGAGGACGCAUUCCAGCCUGUGAUGAGGUGAAAGGUCCAACGCAAGUGACAGAGCACUUAAACAGCCUUUCUUCUGCUGCCUCCCGCAAUUAAUGUUAUUGAAGGAUUGAAAUGAUGCUAAUAGUUAGGCAGAAAGCCUCUGGCAGUGUGGAAGCACAGUUUGCCAGUGCAUUUUAAUAAUCACGUUUAUAAAAAAGAGUCAAGUUAAGGAGAAUUCCCUGCAGUGAUUUCAAAUGAGUAGGCCAGGCAGCUGAGCUCCUGCAGCAUUUGAAGAGGCGACCCACUCUGCCCACUUUAAAGACUCGGUUCAGACCACCUGGCAUCCCCGCAGCUGACCCACAUCACCCCAUCAAACCAGUCCCUGGAUAGAGGAUUUUAUUUUAUUUUUUUUUUUAAGCUUGCUGUUCCUGUUGUGUUUAUUUUGGUGUAAUCUGCAGUCAAUAUAAUUAGCUUUAUAUAUAUUCAAAAGGGAGUAUAGAAGUCUAUGUCCUCAUUUUGAUGAGACUUAGUAUACAGUAUGUUUUGACAAUAUUGAAUGCUAAUGAGUUAUACAAAGUAUGACAUGCAGAUAGAUAGAUAGAUAGAUAGCAUUUAUUUCAUUUCAUUGCUUUACAGCGCAUUUGUGCGUCAUAGGUCAUAUUUCCAUGUUGU